AUGGCUGAGGCGAAGGGGGCGGCUGCGCCGCUGCUGGCGCGGGAGGAUGGGAGACGGCGUGGAGGCGGGGGAGGAGCAACCUGGGCGCAGACGCUGGGCAACGUGGUGGUGUCCAUUGUGGGCACGGGGGUGCUCGGCCUGCCCUACGCCUUCCGAGCCGCCGGCUGGGUCGCCGGAUCCCUCGGCGUCGCCGCCGCCGGAUUCGCCACGCUCUACUGCAUGCUCCUCCUCGUGGACUGUAAAGAUAAAUUGCAAGAGGAAGAAACGGAUGAACCAAAGAAUUAUACAUAUGGAGAUUUUGGUGAGAAGUGCUUUGGGACUAUAGGUCGGUGCUUGACGGAAAUUCUCAUUCUUAUCUCACAAGCGGGUGGUUCUGUAGCUUACCUAGUAUUCAUUGGUGAAAAUCUGCAUUCCGUGUUUAGCCAGUCGAUGUCACCAGCUGGCUUCAUCUUUGCCGUCCUAUUGCCUGUGCAAAUCGCGUUGUCCUUCAUUCUUUCACUAUCCUCUCUUUCACCAUUCAGUAUAUUUGCUGAUGUGUGCAAUGUCCUAGCGGUGGCAAUGGUUAUCAGAAAAGAUCUUCAACUAAUUGAUCAUCCUUUUGCAAAUAGAAGUGCUUUUGAUGGAGUUUUGGCGAUACCUUUCGCUUUUGGAGUCGCGGUCUUCUGCUUUGAAGGAUUCAGCAUGACAUUGGCACUAGAAUCAUCAAUGGCGGAACGUAGAAAGUUCCGUUGGGUGCUUUCUCAAGCAGUUGUGGGCAUCAUAGUUGUGUAUGCAUGUUUUGGGGUAUGUGGGUACUUGGCCUAUGGUGAGGCUACCAAGGACAUCAUAACACUUAAUCUUCCCAAUAGUUGGUCAUCUGCUGCUGUUAAGGUUGGCCUAUGCAUUGCACUAGCAUUCACAUUCCCAGUUAUGAUGCACCCGAUCCACGAGAUUGUGGAGGCAAGGCUCAGAUCAAGUGGAUGCUUCCAGAAGCUCUCCCACGGUGUUCCUGGUGCCGAAUGGCUAGGCCUGCACUCGAGCCGCAUCAUCAUGGUGACUAUUUUAACUGUGAUGGCAUCCUUCAUACCUGCAUUUGGGUCCUUCGUCUCCUUUGUUGGGUGCACAGUCUGUGCGCUGCUCUCCUUUGUGCUACCUACCUUCUUCCACCUCAGCAUCGUAGGAUCGUCAAUGAGCAUAUGGAGAAGAGUGCUGGACUACGGCUUCCUUCUCUUUGGCCUUGGUUUUGCUGGUUAUGGAAUAUUCACUGCUCUCUCGUCACACUGA
rnacentral:rRNA from 1 species